rnacentral:misc_RNA from 1 species
AAGUCGUAACAAGGUCUCCGUAGGUGAACCUGCGGAGGGAUCAUUAACACAAGUGAGCAGCACCAGUGGUGGGACUCGCAAGAGGACCAAUGCUGGUGUUGACACUUUUCUCAACACCCAUCGAACGUGAACUACUAUGACCCUUUCUUUUUUCUUCGCAGCCAGCCCUGUGCUGCUGCUGUGAUGAUUAUUUUCAUUUUUGAAAUGAAACCCUUUCCAAUGUUUAUAACACUUGUAACUGUGCUGGAGUCUGUGUGUGUAGUGCAAGCUCGCACCCGUCUCUGAAACUAUUACGAACUAUAAUGAGUACAACUCUUAGCAACGGAUAUCUUGGUUCUCGCUACGAUGAAGAAUGCAGC